rnacentral:tRNA from 1 species
GCGACUAUAGUUUAAUGGUAAAACCUCGGUUUGUGGAGCCGAAGUCGAGGGUCCGAUUCCCUCUAGUCGCC